rnacentral:rRNA from 1 species
UGCCAGCCGCCGCGGUAAUACGGAGGGUGCAAGCGUUGUUCGGAAUUACUGGGCGUAAAGCGCGCGUAGGCGGCUAUUUAAGUCAGAUGUGAAAGCCCAUGGCUCAACCAUGGACGUGCAUUUGAUACUGGAUAGCUUGAGUAUUGGAGGGGGUGGUGGAAUUCCCGGUGUAGAGGUGAAAUUCGUAGAUAUCGGGAGGAAUACCGGUGGCGAAGGCGACCACCUGGCCAAAUACUGACGCUGAGGUGCGAAAGCGUGGGGAGCAAACAGGAUUAGAUA